CAGCCUUAUCUGCCGCCCUAGAGCCUUUUCCCUAUAACAGUGAAAUCAACAAUGACUUGUGUCAGGAGAAAUCUUUAACUUAUUAUUACAAGAUAUUCUAAUGUUUAAAGAGCAAUCCAACAUAAAUGAAGAGCAUUGUUUUUCCAGAUGAGAGGUACACUCUGCUCCAAGCCAUCACCUAUUCUAGGAACUCUAGAAAGAUUCUGAGCCCCCCACAUGCACAUUCACGCUCCUUGGCCUGAGUGAUUGGUGCAGAGGGAUAUUGACUACUAUGCGGCCC